CGGAGGGUCCGAGCGUUAUCCGGAAUCAUUGGGUUUAAAGGGUGCGCAGGCGGUAAAGUAAGUCAGUGGUGAAAUCCUGCAGCUCAACUGCAGAACUGCCAUUGAUACUGCUAUACUUGAAUAUAGUCGAAGUGGGCGGAAUGUGACAUGUAGCGGUGAAAUGCUUAGAUAUGUCACAGAACACCGAUAGCGAAGGCAGCUCACUAGACUAAAAUUGACGCUCAUGCACGAAAGCGUGGGGAGCGAACAGGAUUAGAUACCCUGGUAGUCCACGCUGUAAACUAUGAUUACUCGAUAUUGGCGAUAUACGGUCAGUGUCUAAGCGAAAGUGAUAAGUAAUCCACCUGGGGAGUACGGUCGCAAGAUUG
rnacentral:rRNA from 1 species